rnacentral:snoRNA from 1 species
UAGCGACACUUUGUGGCAGACGACCCAAACUAAUACAUUUUACUCUUACUGUAGCAAGAAAGUCUAACAUAUUCUGAUGUUCUUCAUGACACAAGGUGUUGUAUAUGCUUAAACAGA